rnacentral:lncRNA from 1 species
UGCUAUGCUAAACUUCAAUCGUUUUCUGAUACAGAGAGCUGUAUCUCCACCGUUCUUUCUCCACAAAGUCUGCGUCAAGAAACUGAGCUAUGAAUGUCCAAAGCCGGUAAACAUCUUCAAAGUUGGCCAGAAAGCUAAGGGCAAUGGUAACUACUGAUAUCCCAAAGUCCGUUUUUUUAGAUUUUUUGUUCUGUGCAUCUUUUUCGUCACACUUUUUUCCUUCUAUAGUCCUCUGCUUCUCUUCCUCAUACUUGUCUGGAAACCACAAAUGUGACAGAAACCCAUGGCUGAGAGAAAUAUUGUUCCGAUCAGCAAGCUUCUGUAUGAGAAUUGGUUCCACCCUUUCUCCUUUCCAGUCGAACAGAUUAAACGCCAUAGCAGUUCCCCUGUCAAAUUUUAUCUUUGGUCCAUAGAUUUUGACCAGAGGAAAAUGGUCCAAUCUAUUUGGAUGCUUAAGUUUCAGGAGUGCACUAAUAAGCCAAUUGACUAGAUACCUUCUUCUGUUUCCAAUUUGCAUCAGUCCGAGCGAAUCCACAUGAUCCAAGCAUCUGCAUUGAAUCUCUAUGCUUCCCUUUUCUUCCAGCUUAGUGUUGUCGCCUAGUGUACUAAUGGAUUGAUCUAAUUCCUCUUUGCUCUUAUCCUUUGGAGCAUCUUUUCCAGAUUCAUUGUUGUGUGUGGAUUUAGCAGAAUUGUGAGCUGAAUUAGAGCCAGAUAUAUGCAGCUCAUCCAGUUUUGUAACAAAAUUGGUUUUUUGUUCAAGCUCCGUGCCACUGCCUGAUGAAUCUAGUGAAUUUAAGAGUUGUGUUGGUGGAACAAGACUUACAAUGCCUGUACUAACCGAAGCUUCCAACAUCGAUACAACUGAUUUCUUGACAAGGAGGCAUCCAAACCCUGUAGGAUUUUCACCAAAAACCUUAUAGAAAGAGCAAAUAAGGAAGUCAGGAUGGAUUAAGGAAAGUCCAAAGCUAUCCAUGUCCUUCGGUCCCAAUGCACAUGCAUCAAGCAAAACAUGCCAACCAUUUUCCUGCGCCAAACUCAUCCACUGAUAAGAGUAACUCGCUCCGGUCGCUCUUGACUGAAGGGGGAACACAAAUAGUCCCCUUGAUUUCUUUUGCUUUUUCUUCCUUAUAAUCAGUUUCCUGAGUUUCACGGAGUUAAUUCUUAGCCGUGGCCAUUUAAAUUCUGCUGACAUUAUAUUAGCCCCUCUUUUCUCUGAUGUAUUGACCAUAGUCUCCAAUGCUUCACUCUCAUGAUCAUAAACUGUAAGAAGCUUUUUACUAGUUUUGAAAGGGUAAGAUUCGGCUAUAAGCUUGAAAGCUGAUGAUCUAUUAGCAGUAAAAACCAUGGAAUAUUCAUUUGUAGACAUGUUAAGAAAAUUCAUGAUCUUUUUCUUGAUACAGGAUUCCAAUUGUGAUCCAUCACCGCCAUGUAAUAGCUCGGAUUUGAGAUCAACAGACUUGCAAGAUAUGUCAAAGAAAGGAUACUCACUACAUUCAUGAGAUGACGGAGAAGA